rnacentral:misc_RNA from 1 species
UUAUCAUUUAGAGGAAGGAGAAGUCGUAACAAGGUUUCCGUAGGUGAACCUGCGGAAGGAUCAUUGUCGAACCUGCACAGCAGAACGACCCGAGAACCGGUUUCAACAACGUCGGGGGCCGGCGGGCCUUCGGGCUCGACGUCCYCUUAUCCCGGGAGCCCGCUCCCGGGCGUACAAACGAACACCGGCGCGUGUCGCGCCAAGGAACCUGAACGAAAGAUCGCGCUCCCGCCGCCCCGRAAACGGUGCGCGUGCGGGCGCGUCGUCGUCUUCGAUAUGUCAAAACGACUCUCGGCAACGGAUAUCUCGGCUCUCGCAUCGAUGAAGAACGUAGCGAAAUGCGAUACUUGGUGUGAAUUGCAGAAUCCCGUGAACCAUCGAGUCUUUGAACGCAAGUUGCGCCCGAAGCCGUCAGGCCGAGGGCACGCCUGCCUGGGCGUCACACGCCGUUGCCCCCCCUCGCGCCUCCCUCGGGAGCGUCGGGGGAGCGGACGAUGGCCUCCCGUGCGACACCCCGCGCGGUUGGCAUAAAUGCCGGGUCCUCGGCGACGAACGCCACGACAAUCGGUGGUUGUCAAACCUCGGUUGCCCGUUGUGCGCCUUCGUCGCGCUCCGAGCGGCCCGCGAUAGCAAACGGCUCCGCUCCGGCGGAGCUUUCAACGCGACCCCAGGUCAGGCGGGGUUACCCGCUGAAUUUAAGCAUAU